GACGAACGCUGGCGGCGUGCUUAACACAUGCAAGUCGAACGGAAAGGCCCUGCUUUUGUGGGGUGCUCGAGUGGCGAACGGGUGAGUAACACGUGAGUAACCUGCCCUUGACUUUGGGAUAACUUCAGGAAACUGGGGCUAAUACCGUAUAGGAGCUCCUGCUGCAUGGUGGGGGUUGGAAAGUUUCGGCGGUUGGGGAUGGACGCGCGGCUUAUCAGCUUGUUGGUGGGGUAGUGGCUUACCAAGGCUUUGACGGGUAGCCGGCCUGUGAGGGUGACCGGCCACAUUGGGACUGAGAUACGGCCCAGACUCCUACGGGAGGCAGCAGUGGGGAAUAUUGCACAAUGGGCGGAAGCCUGUUGCAGCAACGCCGCGUGCGGGAUGACGGCCUUCGGGUUGUAAACCGCUUUCGCCUGUGACGAAGCGUGAGUGACGGUAAUGGGUAAAGAAGCACCGGCUAACUACGUG
rnacentral:rRNA from 1 species